rnacentral:rRNA from 1 species
AUUGAACGCUGGCGGCAGGCCUAACACAUGCAAGUCGAGCGAGCGGCGGACGGGUGAGUAAUGUAUGGGGACUGCCCGACCGAGCGGGAUAACUACUGGAAACGGUGGCUAAUACCGCAUAUUAUCGGUAAACCCAUAUGGGAGUAGCUAGUGGGUGGGGUAAUGGCAAACCUAGGCGACGAUCUCUAGCUGGUCUGAGAGGGUGAUCGGGCAGACGUGGACGGAGACACGGCCCAGACUGCGCCGGAGUCAGCAGUGGGGAAUAUUGCAGAAUGGGCGCAAGCCUGAUGCAGCAAUGCCGCGUGUAUGAAGAAGGCCUUCGGGUUGUAAAGUGCUUUCAUCAGGGUGGCGUUACCUGCAGAAUAAGCCCCGGCUAACUCCGUGCCAGCAGCCGCGGUAAUAC